GUCGAGAGCUCAGUCGGUGCCCGCUAGGUUGAAAAUCCAUCGCUUCUUCUGUUCGUCUUGCACGUGACUCCUCAGGGUUUCAUUAAAAAGGCGCGAAAAAAGUUGAGAGCGGAAAUUUAAAACACUCGGGAACGGACAGCGUCGCGGGAUAAUUUUUGGUCAGUGAUUAACGAAAACGUCCGCCGAUUGAUCUCAUUCAAAUCGCCGGUGAACACCGUAUUCCGGUACACGGUUUGUUGGAAAAACGUACAAUCGCGCUUUUCGCGUGCAGACCCAAUAGCAGUGCGUGUGAGUGCGCGUCCUUACACACGCACGGUCUUACUAGUGUGCCCGAAUACGUGUGUGUGUUUAUUACCUGUGGUGAUUUGUGUUUGACUGUGUGGCGAUAAACCACGCCGAUUUUAUGUUGCAUUGAAUUUAUUGGCGUUUGAUUGUCGGAUUGUUAUUAUCAACCACCUUGUAGACAUGUCUAGGCUGGACAACAGUAGACAGCGGCUUUAGGUGGUCACCGGCGCACAAGACACAUAUACGCACACAACGAUCUCGAACACCAGUAUGCAAUCACGGUAGAGAUACAUUAUUCAACAUUCUACGGUGAGUGAAAGGACAACUUUCCAUGCGCGAGAUCGAAUGCAGACGAAAUUUUACAAGUCCGUUAUACUCAUACGCGUUUAAAGGGCAGUCAAGAGAAAUUAUACACUAUCAUUUAUACAUACAAUGGAGGCUAUGAGAACUUUGAUGUCUUCAUUUCACUCAUCGCACCGGCAAUAAAGGGGGAUAGAUAGAGAUUCAUCCUAUAAGAUUGCGCAUCACUUUCUCAUCAGCGUUAAUUAGCGGCGGGAAGACGACGAGACGAGAUAUCUUCGCGUACCGGAGGGUUUAAUAUAAGAAUUAGUCAUUGUUUAAGCGUACAGUUGCCGGCUAAAGUUGGGAAACCGAACGAUGUGAAAUUGUAUCGAUCAUUGAAAAGCAACACGAAGAAAGAAUUCUGCAGUGUCUAAUUGAAAUCGUAUAACGUUAAUGCUGCAUGAUUUUUUUAACUCGGAUCAACAGAAAUUCGUAAUGAGACCAGAAUAUUGAAAAUACGUUUGACGAAGGAAGAGCGAAAUUUGAAAAUGAAGGACUUCGAGUGAACUAAAGUGUUCGAGUUCGAAGGAUGAAGAGAAAAACGCAUACGUGAUAAACGUAUAUUUUCGAGGGAAAAUUAUUCUUAAAUCAUAAGCGACAAGACUUUGUGAUCGAACUAAACUGUUCGUUGUAAAUAUUAUUAAAUGCAAAUGCGACUUUAGAAUGUAUGCAGCAGGCUGUAUGUGUAUGUCGUAAUCGAGUUCGGCUGGCUUCGACACGUGUCAUGUUCGAUAAUAAAAAGUUAUCAAAAAUUAUCGGCAUCGUUAUUGUUAAUUCAAACC